GAGAGAGAGAAUGGGCCGCAGAGUGUAGGGAAAGGAGAGUGGGGGGCCAGUCUUAGGGUCCGUGAUCAGCUUCUUAAGUGCAGCUGGUUCCAGGGGCUUUGCCAGGGCCUGGGCUGGGGGUGGGAGCCUUCCCGGCAGAGGGUUCGGGGGGAGCCACACCGGGUUCCCCGUGCCUCCCUCAGCCUUCUGUAUCCACAGCACACCUUUACCAACUGCUCCCUCUUGCUUUUCCCGGGUACUAGGGUCCCGUCCCCUCGCUUCCGUGUGUUCCCACGCCCGCCCCCACCCCCCCCCCCCCGGUUUAUGCGUCCACGGGUGGCACAGGAUUCGUGUGUCGGUCUUUAAAUCAGAAUCGGCUUCGGAUAUCUGUACCUGAAAACAGAAACGGUGUUCGUGAAUGAACAGCCUUCAGGUCAAAAGGAAGACGUGGCGGGAAAGCAGGAAGGGAAGCCAGCGGGCCUGGCGUGGGGCCAGGAAUAUGUUUCGGGAGAUGGCGAAUGUCUAUGACUUUGGCUGCGUGAAGGUGAUAACGUCCCAGACUCCAUGCGUCCGAGGCUGCUGGGUCGGGAGCGCAGCGGCGGACGCGCCCUGGAUGUCCUGCACGCGGUUCUCAGCGACGCUGCUCGCCAGCACCCCCAGGGCCCAGGCUCCCAGCCCCGUCGGCGGGAGCCAGCCCGGAAGGGGUCACGUCGGAUUGGCUGCUUCGGCGCCUGCACCCCCAGCAGGUGAAGAAAGGUUAAUAUAUUUCCUCUCUCCCCGUUUCUCUCUCUCCCUCAGCCUUGUCAGACCUUCUGAAAUUACUGUUUCUGUUUUAAGUUGAAUACUGAUUUUUUUUUUUACACUGACUUUGUACGAAUCCUUUUUUGAAAGAAUACCAAAAUAAAAUGCAGGGUCUCUGGACACAGA